rnacentral:rRNA from 1 species
UACGUAGGGCGCAAGCGUUGUCCGGAAUUAUUGGGCGUAAAGAGCUCGUAGGCGGUCUGUCGCGUCGGUUGUGAAAACACAAGGCUCAACCUUGUGCCUGCAAUCGAUACGGGCAGACUAGAGUACUGCAGGGGAGACUGGAAUUCCUGGUGUAGCGGUGAAAUGCGCAGAUAUCAGGAGGAACACCGGUGGCGAAGGCGGGUCUCUGGGCCGAUAUUGACGCUGAGGAGCGAAAGCGUGGGGAGCGAACAGG